AGAGAAAUGGCUGAGUGGUUAAAAGCAAUAGAUUGCUAAUCUAUCAUACAAUAUUUUGUAUCCAGGGUUCAAAUCCCUGUUUCUCUU
rnacentral:tRNA from 1 species